GCAUGGUAGAAGGAAGGAAGAUUCUGCUCUUUGUCUGCUUUCCCUCCCUCUCACUGGCAAGUUCAUUUCUUCACUGCUAUGAGGGCCUACUUCUUUGCAAUUCCAACAUGCACUGAAGAGCACCUGAGACAUCCAGCCUUGUGGAUUACUGGGUUCUUGGACUUCCCCUUUGUGGGCAGCCACUGUUGGACCAGCUGGACCACAGUCUGAAAGCCGCUCUAAUAAGUCACAGGUGCGCAUGCGCGCGCCAAAAGUUGCUUCUCUAGAGAACCCUGACUGGAUGGCUGGUACAGGGGCAUCUGUGAUUGGUGUGAUUGAUGCUUCUAUAAACUAAGGAGCCCCCCCAAAUCAUUGGCACAGCCCAGAAGCUGAGAAGAAGCAUUGAAUGGUCUCCACAACCUGCAGAAGGACUCUGAUCCAGCCGGGACGCCGACUUACCUAGGAGAUUGUGCGCCAUGAGGAAAAUAAUCACAACUCAAGUUCUGAGGUCAUCUGUUUCAUUCUUCUAUUGGCCACAUUUAAGGAUGGAGUAAAUCCGGCUGCUCGUAAAGGCCAUACACAACUGUCUUACGGCUGUGGUCCCCAACUCAGAUCUCUACUGACGACCUGCAGCUGGAACUUCCAAAAGGAGGAAAGUCUUGUAUCCUGACACCAACACUGUGGUUCCUGCCAUGAGCAGUCACUUUUGCAGACAUCAGGCAUCAAAGGUAACCGCUGUGAAAGGAUCUAUCAGCCCCAAAAGGAAUUGGGAUCCACAGGUUAAGAACCAGUGCCUUAGAUGUUCUGAGGCCACAGCUUUGGAGAUUGAAAAGACAGUCCUUUGUGAAGACUAGAAUCUUAGGCCAAGGUGCUUGCUGCCAAGCCUGACACCCCAGUCUGACUCUCAGAACCCAUACAGCAAGGAGAACCUCCUCAGGGCCAUGGUAUGUGUUUCCCAACACGGACACACACACAAUCACACAGAGUAAAGGGUUUUUUAAUUAAGCAAGAAAUACAGUUUACACAUAUGUCUGCAUAAGGUCACGGAGGGUGGUAGCCGACGAGAGACCAGCUCAUCUUCAAUAAGGAAGUCAGAGAGCAGAAGGCUUUGUCAGCAGGGCAAGACUAUACUUUGUU